UACGUAGGGACCAAGCGUUGUCCGGAAUCAUUGGGCGUAAAGAGCGUGUAGGCGGCUUGUUGAGUCUUGCGUGAAAUCUCGGGGCUCAACCCCGAGCGGUCGUGAGAAACUGGCAGGCUAGAGUGCGGGAGAGGAGAGUGGAAUUCCUGGUGUAGCGGUGAAAUGCGCAGAUAUCAGGAAGAACACCCGUGGCGAAGGCAGCUCUCUGGAACGCAACUGACGCUGAGACGCGAAAGCGUGGGGAGCAAACAGG
rnacentral:rRNA from 1 species